ensembl:lncRNA
ACUGAGACAUGGUGGGCAGACUCAAACGCAAAUGUUAAAUUCUACACCAAUAGGACGGUGAGGGGGCGUGUUCAUAGAGCUGCCAGUUCCUGCCCAAGUGUUGUGAUUGCAGUCUGAGUUGAGAACGCGCGUCUGCCUGUGGUUCGGCGCGCUCUUUCGCUGCUGUUUAUAGCGCUCUGGGAAUACUAAUCUCAUCUUUGAGGGGACAAACAACGAAUAAGCUUUCUAUUCUUCGAGGCGACUUUUUCGCUUCUGCGACAGCGUCAUCUGUGCAAGAAGGAGCUGAAUAUUUCCCAGCAGUGAAAAGAGGCGAGGAAAUAAUAUAGUUGGUGACAUUUCCUGGCUCCUGACCUUUCUCCAUCCUUUGGUAACACUUCCUCUCCUGCUCAUUGGAUCACAGCAGCCCAUCUGUUGGUAAAUGACAUAAAACCAAUCGCGGACAUAAAAGGUGUCCUCCCUUUGAACUAUGAUUUCAUUCAUCUGAUGUUGCCCGCCCAAAACAAAAGGAUUUAUCCCCAUUCAACAAGACCCUCAUGCAUUCCUGUGCACCAAAACCUCGCUGCCCUGGGUUUUCACCACCACGCUAAUCAACAUAAUUGGAGGUGAUGAUGCCAUGGUGGAGUCCAGCUCCACUGUCUCAGCGACAGAGAGGCAGGCUGUCUGCCUGCUCCCGGGCCAGGCGGGGGAAGGUGUGGACAGCAGAGGACAGGGCCAAGGUGCACCACUGACAGACCCUCCUCCUGGGACUAAUAACCAACAGAUGGCCGGCCAGAUGUGGGCUGGCGGUGACCUUGGUCACCACGCAAGGUCAACGCCAGCCGCCACCUGUCUUCAAGACAGCCCCUGAUGCACAGACAUGGGGGCGGGCAUUUUUCCUUCUUUCUUUCCAUCUUUCUUUCCUUCCUGCCUAUUGGUGCCUUUUUGGUUUUGGUCGUUGGUUUUGGUUACCCUGCCGACCAGUUUAGUACUGAGCCAAUCGCGUCCUCCUGUCAACUCUGUACGCGUCGUCCGGUUCGUUUUGAUUCGCCACAAUAACCAUCACUCUUGUAAUACCAAUGAAGCUGCGCAGCUUCGGGACCCGGAGGGAUUCGACAUUCCUAUGCUAGAGCCGCACAACGGAAAAACAGUGAGGCACAAACACAACUCAUUUUAAAGCCCUUCAGCUCCUGUUUACCACUCUAAAAAGGCACCGGCGACCCCCUCUUCCAGGGUUAAGCUCUUUGUUGCCGUGGAGCUGUUGAAGUUGAAUGCAUAUCUAAAAAUGAACAAAACCCACUGAUGUGAGCAUGCGCCGGGGUGCUUAUUGCGCCACGCGGCUCAAUACUUUGAUCGGCGGUUUGAUUGGCUGGCGGCGGCGCGGCCAUGACACCGCUCAAACAGCCGACUGUGAGCACAGAGCCGAGAGAGGCUGCAGGCAGCGGGAGCCGGAGCAGGCAGCGCAGCAGGGGAGGGUCCUAUGGGGUUCAUACUACACAGUCACCAUCAGAGCCUGGAAACAGGCUGCCGAGGAGGGGG